GUGGCUGUAGCUCAGCUGGUUAGAGUGCCAGAUUGUGAUUCUGGAUGUCGUGGGUUCGAGUCCCAUCAGCCACCCCU
rnacentral:tRNA from 1 species